rnacentral:tRNA from 1 species
GGCCACGUAGUUCAGUGGUAGAACACCGCCCUCAUAAAGCGGAUGCAUAGGUUCGAUUCCUAUCGUGGCCA